rnacentral:lncRNA from 1 species
UAGGCACCAGCACUUAAAGUUACCCCGUUCUCUGCUUCAGUAGGCAGUAGGAGCUAGAGGAUGGGCUGGAAGAAGAAGCAGUGGUUAGGAGGAUGUAGGAAGCUGGCAUGUUAGACCCUUGGGAGCAGAGUGAGAAAAUGCUGAGAAACAGUGGACACCCUCUUCCCAAGUAGUGCUACAUCAGUUCCCAGAGGGAUAGAUUUAUUAUCUUGCCAAUGAUAUAUCUUUUGUGAAGGUUUAUUAAUGAAAUUCUGUAUUCAGCUCCGAGUCCAUUGCAAGAUAUCUUCUUUCUCACAUGGAUGCAACAAUAAUCUAAUUGUGGAGGAAAAGACUUGAGAAGAAUCCAAGAAUCUGCGACCUGGUUCUGUAUUCUGCUGACAGGAGGAACCUUUAGAGGUCUUCCGUAAUUAUACUCAUAGAGGGUAAGUCAAUUUAUGAUUUAAUUUAUUUUCAAAAUGCCUUUCCUGUAGUCAUUUUGUUCACAUUUAUGUUUCUUUUCUUUUCCUUUCUUUUUCCUCUAUUUCUCCUCCUCCCACUCUUCUUCUCCUCCUUCUUCUUCUUCCUCCUCCUCUCCCCUCCUUCUUCCCCUUUCCCCCUCCUUCUCCUCCUCCUCUUCCUCCUUCAUCUUUGGUUUAUUUUUUUCCUACCAGAAUGCGUGUGUCAAAAGGUAGAGUAGAAUACACGUGUCAAAACAGAUUGAGUGUCUGUUUGUCUUGCUCUAUCCCUGUUGCUUCCCAUCCUCACCAGCUCUUGUUCCAGCUUUCACCUUUUCCAUUCUAAUAGGGGCACUCUGUGUACACCAUUUUAUUAACAUUUCUAUUUGUAUUUUUCCCAAUGACAUAUGGUGUAGAGUGUUUUCUCCCUUUUUUUCUUAUGAAUACCCCCAUUAGUGAGGUAUUUGAUAAUUGUUAUUUAUUCAUUUUAUAUCAUUAAUUUAUUCUGUGUGUGUAGUGUAGGGGGCACAUGCAGACACACAUAUGCAGAUCAGAGAACAACUUGCUGGAGUCAGUUCUCUCUUUCUACUGGGUGCAUACCAGAGGUUGAAUAAAGUCCUUGGGCUUCAUGACAAGUGUCUCUACUGGCCAUGCCAUCUUCUCUGUCUUGUGUUUGCUAGUUCUAUUUAACAUGGUUAUUUGUUUACCUGAGUUUUGAGAGUGUGAAUAUUUUGAAUAAAAAUUAUUCAUCUAGAAUAAAUGACUAAUAUAUUUUAGACUUUAAUUUUGCAAUGUUUUCUAGUUCUUUGGCUUGUCUCUAUUCUCUUGAUAGUACGUUCAGGAAAGCUCAAAUAGAAAUUUCUAUUGGUAUCCAGUUUCUAAAUUCUUUCUGUCAUGGAUUAUGCUCGUUCUUCUGUGUUCAUGUAAACAUUUAAUUCAUUUCAAAUUUUGCAUUGAGAUCUAUAAACCAGUUUGAGUUAUUAUAUGAAAAUAUGUGUCUGAAUUUCUUUUGUUUGUGGAUAUCUAAUUGUUUUAGCACAAUUGUUAAAAGGGCAUUUUUCUCAUUGUCUUGAAGACCGGUUGAAUAUGUUUGUAUGGGUUAAUUUCUGGACUCCAUGGUCCAUUGUAUCUAUUUGUCCUUCUUUUACUGAGAAUGUUUUCAUAGUAUUUCUCAUCAUAAGCACUAGCCAUCCUCUAUUCCGCAUCAUGGCCGUCUACAUGAAAACUUUAGGAAUUAAUAGUAUUUUUCACCUUUAAAAUCACCUUAGGGAACAUGGGGGAGUACUCAGAGGAGGAACAGAGGGAAGGGAAACUACAAUCAGGACAUAUUGCAUUAGAAAACAAUUUAUUUUCAAUAAAAGAAAAAACAAAGAAUGUUUUAAGUAUAUUUUAUGUGUAUGAGUGUUCUGCCUGUAUGUCUCUCUACC